UGCGACUCUGAUAGCCGAGUUGCAGAUAUCAGCCUAUACUUGGCAGAAUCUCACGCCCAUGCAAUGGAGUUUGAAACUGCGGAAAAACGCGAAACUAUUGAUUAUCUGCAUAGUGAACCUCUAUCCAUGGAGAGGUUACUGAUAUGAGCUAAUGUCUAUUAUAUGGGAUUCCUAUCGACUACUGCAUGGCCAUUACGCAAUCGAUACUGUUCUCCAUGGCCAGGACUGCAUGGAGGGUGGUGCUUCAUCCAUCUAUGCGAGCAUAGUUGGCUGUCCUAGUCUGGGCAAGCUAUGGGACAGCGCUGUGCUAUACAUUGAGAGGUUGCCCUCAAUUUGGAUCAAUGCCACACUGUAAAAAUGAUAGGUUCAGGCAUUUCUUGCGCUUGAAGGAACUUACUAUCUUGUUUGUAGUGUUGGAGGAGCCUGAAAUUACUGUAUAACACUUGGUAUUUUGGAUGAUUUUCCAUGAUUGUGGAGCAAUCUUGCAGUCUUGCGGGUAUUGAAGCUUAAGGGCUGGAGGCAGGAAAUAUGAAAGGCUAAGGUGGCUUCAGGUUGAAGAAGAGUAAAAAAAAAAGAAGAAGAGAGGAUGAAGAGGAGGGUUUGGGAAAUUUAGUUUGCCACAGAUUGAUGGCCUUUAGGCUUGUUGCCCUUUGCCAUGAUUGUAAACUUUUAUGGCGCAUGUCAGAAUUUAUCGUAGUCGCAACAUGGCUAAAUGGUGUACAUUACAUAAUGAGGAUUGCAGAAAUAUAAGAUAUACAUUGAUUAGCAAGGAAAGGAGAAAGCGCUAGACUGAUUGGCCAAACAGGGAGAGGAGAUAGUGUUGUAUAUUGUGGCCAAAUGAGAAUGUAUGAUUAUAGUAUUUACUAAAGUUUAGUGCCUAGUUUUACUUCUUCUUUUUUUUCUCACUGUUUUUGCGAAGGAUCCACUUUUAUCUUUGCAAUGUAAAUAUUGGGUAUAAGCAAUUCUUCUUAUUGUUUUCGUGAUGGAUCAAUGUAGGUAUUUGCAAUGUGAAUGUUUACUCCUAUAAAGUAUUUCAUCUCAUUUCUUGUGUAA